rnacentral:rRNA from 1 species
GACGAACGCUGGCGGCGUGCUUAACACAUGCAAGUCGAACGGAAAGGCCCUGCUUUUGUGGGGUGCUCGAGUGGCGAACGGGUGAGUAACACGUGAGUAACCUGCCCUUGACUUUGGGAUAACUUCAGGAAACUGGGGCUAAUACCGGAUAGGAUCUCUUGCUGCAUGUUGGGGGUUGGAAAGUUUCGGCGGUUGGGGAUGGUCUCGCGGCUUAUCAGCUUGUUGGUGGGGUAGGGGCUUACCAAGGCUUCGACGGGUAGCCGGCCUGAGAGGGUUACCGGCCACAUUGGGACUGCGAUAGGGCCCAGACUCCUACGGGAGGCAGCAGGGGGGAAUAUUGCACAAUGGGCGGAAGCCUGAUGCAGCAACGCCGCGUGCGGGAUGACGGCCUUCGGGUUGUAAACCGCUUUCGCCUGUGACGAAGCGUGAGUGACGGUAAUGGGUAAAGAAGCACCGGCUAACUACGUG